UACGUAGGUGGCAAGCGUUGUCCGGAUUUAUUGGGUUUAAAGGGUGCGUAGGCGGCCAAGCAGGUCCGUUGUGAAAACUGGAGGCUUAACCUCCAGACGUCGACGGAAACCGCGCGGCUAGAGUCCGGAAGAGGAGAGUGGAAUUCCUGGUGUAGCGGUGAAAUGCGCAGAUAUCAGGAAGAACACCAAUGGCGAAGGCAGCUCUCUGGGACGGUACUGACGCUGAGACGCGAAAGCUAGGGGAGCAAACAGG
rnacentral:rRNA from 1 species